rnacentral:rRNA from 1 species
UACGUAGGGUGUGAGCGUUGUCCGGAAUUAUUGGGCGUAAAGAGCUCGUAGGCGGUGUGUCGCGUCGGCCGUGAAAACCUGCAGCUUAACUGUGGGCUUGCGGUCGAUACGGGCAUCACUGGAGUUCGGCAGGGGAGACUGGAAUUCCUGGUGUAGCGGUGGAAUGCGCAGAUAUCAGGAGGAACACCGGUGGGCGAAGGCGGGGUCUCUGGGCCGAUACUGAC